UACGUAGGGUGCAAGCGUUGUCCGGAAUUAUUGGGCGUAAAGAGCUCGUAGGCGGUUUGUUGCGUCGGCUGUGAAAACCCGGGGCUCAACUCUGGGCCUGCAGUCGAUACGGGCAGACUAGAGUUCGGCAGGGGAGACUGGAAUUCCUGGUGUAGCGGUGAAAUGCGCAGAUAUCAGGAGGAACACCGGUGGCGAAGGCGGGUCUCUGGGCCGAUACUGACGCUGUGGAGCGAAAGCGUGGGGAGCGAACAGG
rnacentral:rRNA from 1 species